rnacentral:rRNA from 1 species
UACAGAGGUCUCAAGCGUUGUUCGGAUUCAUUGGGCGUAAAGGGUGUGUAGGUGGCGCGCUAAGUCGGGUGUGAAAUUUCGGAGCUUAACUCCGAAACUGCAUUCGAUACUGCGGUGCUUGAGGACUGGAGAGGAGACUGGAAUUCAUGGUGUAGCAGUGAAAUGCGUAGAGAUCAUGAGGAAGACCAGUGGCGAAGGCGGGUCUCUGGACAGUUCCUGACGCUGAGGCACGAAGGCCAGGGGAGCAAACGGG